CCGCCUCCACCCCCACCCCCAGCAAGCAGUCCCGCACACCCCACCCCCUCCUUUUGGUUGCUCCUCCUCAUAGUAACCUGUUUACUAUACAGUCACCCGUCGGCGACGGGCGGUCGAGCGGCGGGCGGCCUCCGGCUUUUGCUUCCUCGGCGUGCCGGGUGGUAGGCGGUGGCGAUGGUGCGCCAGAUCCGAUCUCAACGCCUCCGAAUGGCAGUGGCUGGAUAACCCCUGAUUUUUUACUCCAAUCGGAGGGGUGUGUUGCGGCCCUAGCAAUUUGCCGGCGUUGUCAAGGCUCCCCUCCAUGAACGGCAGCUCCAUCUCCGCGUAGGCCCAUGUCAAGAGGCGCUGGAGGCAGAUCGACGGCCUGAUGAUAGCGCAUGUCUCCAAUGCCAGAGAUCCCUCACUCAUUCGCUGCCUGGAGUACUGGAGGCCUGGUCAAUGCAGCUGAGGGCUCCUCCGCCGGCAGUGGGGAUGCCACCAGAUGUCAGCCUUGUGGCUGUCUGCUUGGAGUGUCAAUGUCGAAGAGGAGGAGCUUCAUUCUUUUUUGUUUGAUUUUCAAUUUCGUGCUCCAAUGAUCUGCAGCUCAUCCCUAUCUCGAUGAUUACAUCUUCUCCCCGCAGUGAGUAUUUCCGGCAGCGAUUUCUUCUGUGUUCCUACGCCUAAUAGAGAUUUUUGGAAUCGGGGAAUUAGUACUAAUAUUUCCGUUUGAUUCCACACCAGCCCAUUCAGAGUCAAUUUGUGAUGACCAAGUGGAGCCCCUUUCGUCUACUGUAGUUUGCGCAGUACCUCUCAGCUGAAUCAGGAUGUUUUUUUCAUUAGAUUUUUUUUCUCCAUUCUGCAAGCGAUUCGACCCUAACUCCAACAAUUCAACUAAUAUAAAUGGGUACACGAGCAAUGGUGAAUGAGCUCCUCUAAAACCAGAUUAGGUCUACAAAAUUCCUGCAUGUGUUUUUUUUUUCAUUCUGAACAUAGCACUAUGCAAUCAAUAUCAUGGAUUUAAGUUAAUUCACAUAUAUAUUGGUUUAGAUUUAGUCAGGUUUCGUGCAGGAGAUCAAAAGAGGGAUUAUGAGUGGAUUCAAAGGUUUAGUGUUGAGGAAUCCAGAACACACUGUAGGCUACUGUCCCUAAUUGUUGCUGCGGCUUCAAAUAGCAAGUUUAUCUUUGAGAAUAAUCAUGACACCAGCACCAGAAGAACCCAGAAAAACCAUGAGAUUCUUGUUAGUGAGCAAUAUCAUUCUGGUAGUACUGUUUACUUUCUGUUUUUUUCAAAUAUCAUAUCUCCUGUAACUGAUUUGUACUAAUGCUUGUUUAGCUUUCUUGAUUCGAGCCCUGCUUUGCCUUGUGUAUUGAAGUUCACUCACUACAUAAAAAGCACAAUAACUGAAGAUAAUUUGCUUCUAAUCAUGUCAUGCAUACAUCUUCACUGAAAUUCUACAGGGCGCUAUGGAUAGAUGAUGGACGGGCAUGACCCAAUUAUGGGUGCACUGGAAUGUUGCUUUCUCUUGUGGAAUACUCUGUAAAAUUGAGCUUGACUACCUAUUAAUUGUUUUUGGUGGUGCUGCCCAAUAAUAUUGUGUCAUUUGUCCAAUUCAUUCUAUUUUAUGAACUACUAUCAUUGACAGGCUACUAUAUUUAUUGCCUGAAAUGUUUAUUAUGGAGAUGCACAUGCCUAAAAUGUUUUCAUGAUAUGCAUUGUGUUUGCGUUUGUUUCAGACGGAAUGUUGAGAACCAUCGAUGUAAUAGUAAUUUAGUUACUAAGAGAUAGUAUGUUUGAGAACCAUCGGUGUAAUAUUGACUUUGUUACUAAGAAAUUUGAUAGCAAGAUUAAUAUGUUAUGUUGAGAACCAUUGGUGUAAUUAAGUUACUAAGAGACAAAAUAUUGAGAACCAUCAGUGUAACAGUAACUUGGUUACUAAGAGAAAUUUUGUGGCAAGAUCAAUA